rnacentral:rRNA from 1 species
GACGAACGCUGGCGGCGUGCUUAACACAUGCAAGUCGAACGGAAAGGCCCUGCUUUUGUGGGGUUCUCGAGUGGCGAACGGGUGAGUAACACGUGAGUAACCUGCCCUUGACUUUGGGAUAACUUCAGGAAACUGGGGCUAAUACCGGAUAGGAUCUCCUGCUGCAUGGGGGGGGUUGGAAAGUUUCGGCGGUUGGGGAUGGACUCGCGGCUUAUCAGCUUGUUGGUGGGGUAGUGGCUUACCAAGGCUUUGACGGGUAGCCGGCCUGAGAGGGUGACCGGCCACAUUGGGACUGAGAUACGGCCCAGACUCCUACGGGAGGCAGCAGUGGGGAAUAUUGCACAAUGGGCGGAAGCCUGAUGCAGCAACGCCGCGUGCGGGAUGACGGCCUUCGGGUUGUAAACCGCUUUCGCCUGUGACGAAGCGUGAGUGACGGUAAUGGGUAAAGAAGCACCGGCUAACUACGUG